UUUAAGCUUCCUACGGGAGGCUGCAGUGGGGAAUCUUGCGCAAUGGGCGAAAGCCUGACGCAGCCAUGCCGCGUGAAUGAUGAAGGUCUUAGGAUUGUAAAAUUCUUUCACCGGGGACGAUAAUGACGGUACCCGGAGAAGAAGCCCCGGCUAACUUCGUGCCAGCAGCCGCGGUAAUACGAAGGGGGCUAGCGUUGCUCGGAAUUACUGGGCGUAAAGGGAGCGUAGGCGGACAUUUAAGUCAGGGGUGAAAUCCCGGGGCUCAACCUCGGAAUUGCCUUUGAUACUGGGUGUCUUGAGUAUGAGAGAGGUGUGUGGAACUCCGAGUGUAGAGGUGAAAUUCGUAGAUAUUCGGAAGAACACCAGUGGCGAAGGCGACACACUGGCUCAUUACUGACGCUGAGGCUCGAGGACAUGGGGAGCAAACAGGAUUAGAUACCCUUGUAGUCGAAUUCUU
rnacentral:rRNA from 1 species